rnacentral:rRNA from 1 species
AGCGAACGCUAGCGGCGGGCCUAACACAUGCAAGUCGAGCGGAGAACUUCGGUUCUUAGCGGCGGACGGGUGAGUAACGCGUAGGUAAUGUGCCUUCUGGUGGGGAACAACCGUGCGAAAGCAUGGCUAAUACCGCAUAUGUCGAGAGAUGAAAGCCUUCGGGCGCCAGUAGAGCAGCCUGCGUCCCAUUAUUUAGUCCUAGUUGGUGAGGUAACGGCUCACCAAGGGGUACGAUGGGUAGCUGGUCUGAGAGGAUGAUCAGCCACACUGGAACUGAGACACGGUCCAGACUCCUACGGGAGGCAGCAGUGGGGAAUAUUGCGCAAUGGGCGAAAGCCUGACGCAGCCACGCCGCGUGAGUGAUGAAGGCCUCGG